rnacentral:rRNA from 1 species
GACGAACGCUGGCGGCGUGCUUAACACAUGCAAGUCGAACGGUGAAGCGCCUUCCUUUUUGGUGGGUGUGGAUGAGUGGCGAACGGGUGAGUAACACGUGAGUAACCUGCCCCCUUCUUCUGGAUAACCGCAUGAAAGUGUGGCUAAUACGGGAUAUUCUGGGUCUGUCGCAUGAUGGGUCUGGGAAAGAUAUUGUUUCGGUGGGGGAUGGGCUCGCGGCCUAUCAGCUUGUUGGUGGGGUGAUGGCCUACCAAGGCGGUGACGGGUAGCCGGCCUGAGAGGGUGGACGGUCACACUGGGAAUGAGACACGGCCCAGACUCCUACGGGAGGCAGCAGUGGGGAAUAUUGCACAAUGGGCACAAGCCUGAUGCAGCGACGCCGCGUGAGGGAUGGAGGCCUUCGGGUUGUGAACCUCUUUCGCCAGUGAAGCAGGCCUGCCUCGUUUGUGGGUGGGUUGACGGUAGCUGGAUAAGAAGCGCCGGCUAACUACGUG